UAGAGUUGAAUUUGAAAUUUAUUUGAAUCAUUCACAUGUGCGUGGGCCAAAAUCACUCUUUUCGCCCUAGGAAGUCACUCGGGCCAGCUAAACGUGCGGCGCCAGCACACGGCCUCGCCCUGCAGCCUCAUGCACACAUGGCUGGCUGGUGGACCCACCACACCCUCAUCCCAUGUUCGCCGCCGUCCGGUGUCCGAGAAAGAGCUGUGGGGGUUCGGCAGCGUUUGAGGAGCGCGUUCAAGCAAGCCCGCGGGCGCGAGGGUCAUCGGAGUCGUACGAUUCGUUGCCGAAGUUGAGAAUUCAUCCUAGAGCCGACUGUGCUGUGGACGGUGGCGCCGGGCCAUGUAAUUAUCGGUGCGACCAUCCCUUGCAAGUUUUCCUUAACCCCCACAUCGUAUAGCAUCGAUCAAUUGUGUGUAUGGGAAGCUAGAUCCUUUGCGAGGCUUAUCCGGCCAUGGCACCGCCACGGUUGCGCGGGCGUCGCCGCACCCAGCGCCGGCCCUGCGGGCGGGCAGACGGGGCAGCCGCGCUGGGCCUCGUAUUUUCGUGGGCCCCCACCAUAGUACCUAUAUAUAUACACGACUAGUUGCCGGCUUCAGCAGAUUUUUUUAUUCGGCCACUUUGUGAGGACCGUGAGGGCAUAGCAACCAGCCGUCACGCAGUCCUCGUCUCCUCGAUGCUCUUGCCCUGGACGGCUGGACCAGCCGAGAGAGAAAGCCUCCGACGAAAGCGUCACCUAGCGGAGAGAGAAAGCCUCCGACGUCUACGCUGAUCCGUUGAAGAUUCCUGCAGUCGCCUCUCGCCUACCGCCGCCGGACGAGAUUGCCGAGUCAUGUCGUCUAGAAGAUAUGCAUCUGGCAGUGAAAAAAGAAAAAGAAAAAAAAGGACAGAAGAGUUUAUAGAAUCGCAGAGAGGAGCUAUGGAUAGGUUUUUGACCAGUAAUCCAAGAACUUCAACAAAUACAUAUGAAUUGGCUAUAGUGGUUGUGGAGGAACAACCUAAUAUUAAUCUAGAAGAUGGUCUUCCAUCAGAUGAAAAUGUUGACAUCAACAUGGAUGAUAACAAUCAUCAGCUGAAAGAAGCUUUUCAAAGUUGAAGUUGUUGAAGAAUUAUUUGAGGUCUAAAAUGUCUCAGGAAAGAUUAAAUGGUUUGGCUAUCUUAUGUAUUGAGAAAAUAUUAUUGGAUGAGAUUGAUAUUGACACCAUCAUCAAUGACUUUGCAUCUAAACAUGUCAAAAGAAUUUUUUAAGGUAACAUCAUAAUAUAUAUCUUUUUAUUUACUUGUUAUUUGAUAUAUAUACAUUUUAAGAUGUAUUUAUUGAUAAUAUUUAUAUAAUAAGGGCCUCCAUUUUAAAUUUUGUCCCGGGCCUCUAAAAUGUGAGGACCGCCGCUGGCCGCACCCGACCGCUAGUCUAGCCAUUAGUCUUGAGAUACGCGACUGAGAUUAAGAGUACCACGUACCAUUUCGCUCUGUCGUUUCUGGCCGUUGAUCUCCAUCAGGAGGAUCCUUGGGGAUCUCGUUUAUUUUAAACCAACACCGUUGGAUUAAGGGCAACAACUGCUAUGCAAGCAGUGCUUCUGUGUAAGUGUGCAAGCAAACCAUUUGAUCAUUAGAUUACAAUCCAACCACAGAUAUAACCAUGAUUUGUUAGGAGUUUUUUAUAAAGAUUAUUAAGCUAGUGGUGGAAGGGUUAAGUGUUAAAUGUGGCUUACGGUUGGAUCACGAUCUAAUGGAUCAGAUGGUUUGCUUGCACGCUUGCAUAGAAGGACUGCUUGCAUAGCAGUCGUUGCCUGGAUUAAGAUAUGAAGAUCAAUAGUGCAUACCAGUUCAUGUUUUAUCCAAGCCUUGGAUCACAGAUCUGACGGUUCUGGUGCAACACACGUUAUACAACCAUGGCUCAGGACUCUCGCAUGAUUAAAUGAUAGAACUAAACUUAACCUAUCAUGCAUUGCAUUGUGGAGUUAGUAUUAUUAUCUAUGAUCUAUUAUUUAAUUGGGUGGUAUACACUUAUACUUAGUAAGUGUUAAUAAAAUUUUGAUCAACUUAAUUAAAAGCAAUGCUCAGCUCUAACCCUUUUCCUUGGUAGGCCUUACACUUGAUCCCCCACCAUAAGUGAGCUCAAACACACUUUUUCAAACACUUGCUAAGCGAUGACCACAUGAGAGGUCACCCUUGCUAUAAUCACACUAGGUCAAGAGCAGGUACCACCAGAGGAGGACUACUAAGACGAGUUUGAUGAGAUCUAGGCGUCGUCUCCCAGUUAACUAUGGCGUCGUGGAGAUAGUUAUCUUAGCUCGAUUUAUUUAUUAUCGGUUGUUUUGUAAGACAUUCUCAUUAUGUAAUAAAGCUUAUGA